AGCGUAGACGGUGUGGCAAGUCUGAAGUGAAAGCCCGGGGCUCAACCCCGGGACUGCUUUGGAAACUGUCAGACUAGAGUGCAGGAGAGGUAAGCGGAAUUCCUAGUGUAGCGGUGAAAUGCGUAGAUAUUAGGAGGAACACCAGUGGCGAAGGCGGCUUACUGGACUGUAACUGACGUUGAGGCUCGAAAGCGUGGGGAGCAAACAG
rnacentral:rRNA from 1 species